CCCGUCCCCAGAGCAGCUGACAUCUCAUGCAUCAUGUCGCUCACUUCGGCAAUAUGCUUUUAGGUCUUUGCUUUGUAGGAAAGAUGGGCAGCGAUCUGUCACAUAGGUUGACUUUGAGAUAAGCAUUGCCGGUGGAUUCUGAGAACAAAAGCAUUCUGCUGUUUUCUAUCAAUUAUUGCGAACUCUCAAAAGGUAAAUGAUGCUACAGUGUUGGAACAUCUUGGAAAGAACACCAGAUUUGAAGUUAAGGG
rnacentral:lncRNA from 1 species